rnacentral:lncRNA from 10 species
CUCCCACCACCCUGGUCCCCACCCAUCCGGGGAUGGAUCCGAAACCAGCCCGGGUAUGAAACUCUCCGGCCUCUCUCCCAAACAUCCUCGUGCCCCUGCUCCCCUUGCUCUGGUCCCACUCCAUCUCAAGCCCCCUCUGCAGUCCUCCCUUCUGGUUUCUCCCUCUGGCCUCCGGGAGGCCUCUGGUGCCCGCACAACUUCCUGGCAUUGAGGAAGGACCAGAGCUGUAACGUGGGGCUGGAAGGUCCCAGAACCACCAGCUAGUCCUGCCCUGCCAGCCUCUCCUUGUUAAGCUCUCCCUCCUGCUGUUCAGUCUAUGCUCGACGACUAGAGGCCUGAUUUUGAAACUCUCUUUUGGGGCCACUGGGUCAGGCCAGCCCUCCUCACUGUCAGGAAAUGUAUCCUCAUUUCUUACCUUAAUUUCUCAACCGCAGCCGUUCUUUCUUGCUCUGAGAAGUCACCCGGCGUGAUGCUGCGGCCAUGCUACUCCUCAGCGCUCUGCUUCCCAACCAAAACAAUGCUCCUUCUCAUCUUUUCCAAAGCUUCCGGCCCCAGCAGUUCUCGGACCUGGGGUAGUUUCCUCCCCGCAAGUAACAAAGGAGGACAAGCCCCAGCUUCUCUAAGAUGCCUUCAGCUGCCUGGAAGAGGCCUGUGGAAGGCCCUGCAACUCUCCGCAGACCUCUGGGCAUUGCUGCUGCUUCUCAGUGCCCCUCGUCCCCUCAGCCAGCUCCAGCUGACUUGGCGUAAUGACUAAGAAAACUUUCCAAACUUUCCGAAGACAGUUGGUGAUCCUCUACCCUCCCGGUGACUGGUGAGAACUACCCCCACAGAGAGCCAGCAGAGAGGAAGGCUCCCAGCUCCGGGCCCUGACUCAUCACACACACAAACACUCCCCAGCACUCUUUCCCAAAACAGUUCCCCUCCCACCCAUCCACCCUCCUACCGGGGCUGGGUGACAAAAAUGAACGCCCCAGAGAUCUUGCCAAGUUCUGGGCCACGCUCAGCCCAGGGAACACGCAAUUCCCCGUAGAAUGGGAGGAGCAGGCCCCGCCCCCUCUGGAAGCAAACAAUGUCCAUUGGAAGGAAACGACCACCUGACUCUACAAUGAUCACUGUACUGUUUUCCAAAUACCUUGGACCACUCUCCCCCAAGAAAGAGUUCAAAGCUCUAUAAUCAUAAAAUAUUAGAGCUUAAGGCAAUCUUAAAGGUCAUCUGUAGCGCCUCUCCCCUUCCCUGCUUCCAUGCAUCUACACGUGGAUUCAUUUCUUUAUCUAUCUGUUCAUCAGAUAGCCACUCAGUUCCUACAGUUUGCCCAUGUGCAACGCACGCACUGGAGGCCUCACAGACGCACUGUCUCCUCAAGGCGCUUGUCAUCUAGUGGGUGAGAAAGCAAGUGACAAGGCGUUGGAAUAAGUAGGACAGGCACUGUGGUAGGAAGAGUGCAUGUUCUAGAAGCACCGAGAGGGCACGUCACCCCCACCUUGGGGUAGUGGGGGGAAUUCAUGGAGACUUACU